CCCCAUGAUGACCUGCUUUAAGUCAAUCAAUAAACGCAUCUUGUCACAGAAGACAUCGUCAGCAAGGUUCAGAAGGAGGUAUCGACCAAUUAAUUGGCAUGUAAAAUUGACAGGCUUUAUUAGUCAGCCUUGAGAUAAAACAUCUAUUUGGUGGUUUCUGUUUGCUCAAAAAGUAUUAAAUAACUAUGAUGCGCCAGACAUUAUGAAAUUCUUAGGACACUUAUUCAUUUAACUUUUUCUUUCUCCAGAAAGAGCUAAAUCCUUGCCAAAGGCAUUGGGGUUUACUAGUACUCUGUCUUCACUGCUGUACAUAUCAUUUGUAUAAACGCCUUCUGUCUCCGUGCUACAUGAAAUAUGAAAAGCAGUGUUGCUUCAUUGUGAAAAUGUGUACAAAGUAUUUUAUAAUAGCGAUUUAAUCAAAAGCAGCUGGUCUGUAUAAAAUUAUAAUUUUUAUGCAUAAUAGAAAGUGAAGAGAGAGCAGAGGACCUUAGUUUUUAAAUAACCUUAUAACCUUUUUUAUUAAUCUUUCUUUGCCACCCCCCACUUUUUUUAAAUGUGUGGUAAGUUAUUUUAUCUAUUUUCCCCUUGAGCCGCUUUAUAAAUAGCAAUCACUCCGGAAACAAGCCAGUUUCUAUGACUCAAAACAAAACCUAUCUGUUGGCUUUUUUUUUUAUGGCUACUGGAAGAUUAUUUAUUCAUUAAAAUAAAGAUGCGUUAGCUCUGCUCAGCACAGCGCUCUGGACUGUGCUCUUUAAGAUGGCUCUUUGGAAAGGAACAAUCAUCUGGGAACCAGAGCAAAGUGCAGAUGCGGAGGGUGUGUGCAGGAUGGAGAAUCAUCCCAGAUACUGCCACCCAGGAGCACUGCUACACCUGCAUUGGUUGAGCAUCAGAUGCAUGGACCCGACUCUCUUUCACAGUGUGGUCAUCGUUUGAGGACAUUGUAACCCAAGGCUGCUUUAGAACCUAAGAAGCCAGUAGCACUCUUUUCUUGCCAUGUGCCAACUCCACUUUUAAUUUAGUGGCUUGGAAUAAGUCUUCUUCUUUUGAAGAAAAACAUGGUUUUCUGCUGACAAGAUUGUUCUGCAGUUAAAAGCACUUGCCCUAAAGUUGGAUAGCUCACAUUCGAUCCCACGAAUCCAUUUGGCAUGAGACACCAACUCUCCCAAGUUGUCCUCUGACCUUCAUGUUUUGGGGACAUGUGUGCCUCUUCCCAGAAUGAAUAAAGGUCAUAUAUUAA
rnacentral:sRNA from 1 species